rnacentral:rRNA from 1 species
UACGUAGGGGGCAAGCGUUGUCCGGAUUUAUUGGGCGUAAAGAGCGUGUAGGCGGUUAGGUAGGUCCGUUGUGAAAACUCGAGGCUCAACCUCGAGACGCCGAUGGAAACCAUCUAACUAGAGUCCGGAAGAGGAGAGUGGAAUUCCGCGUGUAGCAGUGAAAUGCGUAGAGAUGCGGAGGAACACCGAUGGCGAAGGCAGCCCCCUGGGCCAACACUGACGCUCAGGCACGAAAGCGUGGGGAGCAAACAGG